rnacentral:lncRNA from 1 species
GCAAAGACACUAUCAAGGUCUUGCACUAAGCUCAUACACUCACAAAUCCAGGAGCAAUGACUUCAACAAUUCACUAGCAACACUCUACCAUAAGAUCUCAACGUCCAAAAACAAGCAACAAAGAAAUAAUGCAAGAACAACUUACUUGGUAAGAGAAUGUGGGCCCAUAACCUGUUGAAACAUAGAAAGCAUACUCCACACAAGUAAGUUAGGACCAGCAAGGUUGCACUUUAACAAAUAGAGUGUG